rnacentral:lncRNA from 1 species
CUAGAGACCCUUCAGCCGUUUUUGAAAAUGAAACAAAGACUAGACAAAAUACUAACUUAGAGUUAUACACCCUAAGGAGGCAGCGCCGCAGAGAAGACAAACGAACCCCUUUGGAUCGUCUUCUUCAUUCCAACAACAACAGACCUUAGGAGACCUUAACUAGCGUCAGCCAUUUUUGGACUAAGGAACCUAUCAGCUUUUUCCUAACAGAGAACACAAGACCUAAACUGCUAGGCCUAGAAAAGAAGGAGGGGCCGUUUUGGUGGAUCUGGAGAAACAACCUCAUAUCAUCUUCUCCAUGAAGACCAAACGAACGACCCCUUCUACUUAAUACCUAAGAAGCAGCGAUGCCACCCAGCAUUGCCGGAAAUCCGGCAACCUCACUCAUCUCACCCCUCUCGUUCCGCUACUACCUCACCGGCGAGUGGCCAGAAAUUCAAUAAGCAACAAAAUAGCUAUCCACAGCAGAUUUACACACACACAAGAACACGCACCACCUGAAACCAUUGGAGCCGCUGCGGCUUCUUUGAAUGCACACAGCAGUAGUCGAUAUCUUCACUUCCAUUAGCCGAGAAACAAUGCCAAAUCAGGAGCUACUGUCAUGGAGUUCAUUGGGUCUGUUUUCUGAUUUAGUUUGAGCUUUCCGGUGAGCCAAGGUCGAUUUAGAAGUCCGUUCGAUGUCCCGUCGCCGGUCUGAGUUUUCAGUCGGUACCUCAUUUGAGUGUUGUUUCUUUAUAUGCAGGAGAAGGUUAGAGUUCUAUCAACGAAGGAUUCGUUCUUUAAUUUACUGAUUCCCUUUAAUUAUAUAAUGCUCUGUUUUGGUUUACAAAUAUCUAAAUGUUGUGUUAGCUUUUCCUUUCUUUCGUUGUUUUGUUUUUGCUUGUUUGAUUGAAAUCAAUUUUGCAAGAAACUGAAACAUGAACUUCUCAUUCACUUUGUUAGUUUGGUUAAUUUGAUAAAUCCAUGUUAGGCUAAGAAAGUAAAUAAGUCAAUAAUGCUUUAAAGGAAAUUCAUUUUAUUAAUAAUGUUCAUGUUAGAAUUUUGUUCCUUGGCUGAUGUUCUGUUACUUGUUUCAUUUAUUUUAAUUUCUUGUUUCUUGAAAGAAGAUGAAUAUUCGUAGUUUGCUUUAGGAGCGUUAAUUAAAUUAUUGUUAUAGUUACGGGUACGGUUCCCGUGACGUAGUUGUGAUGCUUAAUUACUAAAAUCCGGGGUACAUUUAUGUGAUCCGGCCACAACUUAAUCUUGUUAAUAAAAUAAACAUGUUGUGGAUCGUGGGUACGACUCCUGUGACAUGAUUCACAACGUGUAAUCAAAUAAUUAGUUGUAUAACAAUUGGAUUAUUAAAAGCAGUUCAAAAGGAAUAAAAUGCACAUAGGUUUCAAAUAAUGUUUUAAAAUUAGAUAAAUAGGCCAAUAAUAAUAGUUGAGCGACCGUGCUAAAACCACGGAACCCUGGAAUGCCUAACACCUUCUCCCAGGUUAACAGAAUUCCUUACUCGGAUUUCUGUGUUCGGGGACUAUAAAAUUGAGUCAAUUUUUCCUUGAUUCGGGAUUUAAAAUCAGUGACUUGGGACACCAUAAAUUAUCCCAAGUGGCGACUCUGAAUUUUAAAUAAAUGAUCCCAUUUCGAUUGUCACUUUAAUUGGAAAAACGCCUUUACACCCCUUUCAGGGGUGGUAAAAAGGAGGUGUGACAGCUCUGGCGACUCUGCUGGGGAACAAACCUAGAAUCUCUGGUUUAGGAUUCAAGAAUUCGAGCUUAGAAUAAUUGUUAUAUUUGGCUUUUAUUUAUUAUCUGAUUUUUAUUACUUGUUUGGGCUUAAUGUGCUAAAUGUCACUUUUUACUGCUUUGAUAUUAUUUGAACUAUAUAUAAACUGCUGUGAAACCCUUCUCUUCUCAUCUUCGGGGAAGUGCACGCUGGCAUGACUUCUUUUCUGUUAGUGUCGUACCCUAAUUUAGAAAGAGAUUCGCACAAGUUACAAAGCCGUAUGGCCUUUUGGUUCCCGGUACGUAGGCCCCCCUCGGCUCGAAUUAUCCGCUCGGGUAAGCCAGGUCUAGAAUAAUACACCCAGGUUUUAAAACCUAGAAUAACACAACCUUAUGCCGGAUCCUUAGUAGGAACGCUUAUUUGUAUCAUGUGCAUUUGACUUUGGGGACUCAAUGCAGGGGUUGGGUCCGUCUAGGAUAGGUGUACCCAAAAAUAAAAGGCUAUCUCUGUUGCAUCUUAUGUGCUACAUGUUGCAAUCUUCAAGGAUAAAAGGGGUCAUUUGGCGGACCAAUGAUGGUUGAGGAUAAAUGAGAAAAAAAGAGGGUGAAAUGUAAAAAUGAAUCAAGUAUGACCCAGUUAUGUUUUUCUUUUACAUUUUUUUUAAGGAAAAGAUGAAAAAAAGGAAAAAAAACAGGAAAAAUCCAAAAAGAUUUUGCACUUUCCCAUCAUUUUCCAAAAAAAAAAAAUCCAAAAAGAGUUUACAUAUUUCAUCAUUUUUCAAAAUAAAAAAACAAAAAAAUAUAUUUUCUCUAAAUUAGUUAUUUUUUAUUUCUCGUCCCUAUCCAAUCUGCCCGAACUACGCAUACCUGAUUCUCGUCUUCCGGGGCGUGAUACGUAAGCAACCCACAUAAUGUCUGAUCUUCCUAGUGAGUCUUAGGUUCUUGGCUUCGCGAGGUCUUAGCCAGAUCUUGUACUUUUAGCCACUUUUAGCCACAUAGGUUAAUUUUAGAAAGAUGGUUACAAUCAUGUCUUGCAUGUGUCCAACAGGAAGGGUUAUUAUCUCACAUAGUAUUCUAGGUCUUUAACUUUAUUUGGUCUUAAUUUUCUCAUAUAGGUGUGAGUCGACUUACUGGAGUUUGAGUAUGACAUGCACCCCGGGACCAUCCAAUCAGGAUCGCCCAUUCAGGAGUUGCUUAAGGAGAUAUUUUUAUGUUUUAUGUUUUGGGUCUGUUUUUCUUUUUAUGUCGUCUUUUACUUUCUAGUUUUGUAUAGUAAUGUCGAGUCUUUUAUUAUUGUACUUUCUAUUUUGUAUUUGAAAAAGUGUGUUGUAACUCAAAAAUAAAAAAUAAAAAGAUUUUGCGUUUUAUAUUUCCGUUAGAAGUUUUCUUUACAAUGCUAAUUCUAGAAAUUAAAAAAAAAAUCUUUU